rnacentral:snRNA from 2 species
AGCCAUGUGGUGAGCACAAAGCGAACUAUUCUUUCGCCUUUUACUAAAGAAUACCGUGUGCUCUCCACGCUAAGUGGCAUACGCCUAUUUUUGGAGGGUCCCACUUUAGAGUGGGCCC